UGGCUCAGAGGUUAAAGCGUCUGCCUCCAAUGCAGGAGACCCGGGUUCGAUUCCUGG
rnacentral:tRNA from 1 species